AUGGAUCCCGACUAUCUGCUCGUAUAUCUCCGCGGCCUUGUGGCAGUCACCAAGGGUGCGAUAUAUGUUGGCGCAAUCAAACUUGAGCCCCACAUCCUCCGGAUCAGCCCUCAUUGCCUUGAUAACACAGUGCCUUGCCAGAGCAGCAUCCUCCUUCUUCAGGGCCAGGUCGAUGAGCUUCUUCCACAGCGACACGUCCUUGGGCGAGACGUAGGCGGCCAGCAUCACGAAGUUGAUAGCCUUGUCGAUCUCGCCAUUCUCCUUGUAGAUGCUGCCGAGCAGGUUGUACGAGUUGGGCAGGUUGGGCGCGAUCCGCACGAUCUCGUGCAGGAUGGGGAUGGCCUCCUUGAACCUGUUCUCGGUGAAGAGCAGGGUGGCGUCGCCCAGCUUCUUGAUGACCUCGGGGCUGCACCGGUUCCUCCGCCCUCUCGCCCGCCCCUUCCUCUUGCCGUCCUUGGACCGCCGCCGCUUCUUCCGCCGGAGGCCGAACCCCUCCAUCAGCUGGUCGAAGAGGUUCGCCGACUCCGCCUCGGAGAGCUCGCCCUGCUGCCUCCGCUUCUUGGAGGGCUCGUCCCCCUGCGGCGGCUCCUCGGGGAGGGCCUUCCGCUUGCGCGACAGCGCCGCCAGGGCCUCGAAGUCGCGGAUGCUGACGGUGGCCACGGCGCCGCCGGGCCCCCGCUCCGCCAUCUCCACGCACUGCGCCGCGUCCGCCGCGUCGCCGAACUCGUACCCCUCCUCCUCAUCCUCGUCGUACUCCUCCCCGUCCCCGUCCUCCUGCUCGUACGCCCCCGCCGCCGCCGCCGCCGCCGCGCCUUCCUCCUCCGUCGCCGGCAUCUCCGAAGCACGGGCCGAGGAAAGCGGCAGAAGGAGUCGCUCCUGCCGGCGGCGAGAGCCGGGGACUAG
rnacentral:rRNA from 1 species